CCCUUAGACGUUCUGGGCCGCACGCGCGCUACACUGACCAGUGCAACAAGCAUCCGUCCUUGGCCGACAGGCCCGGGCAAUCUUUGAACGCUGGUCGUGAUGGGGAUAGACUUUUGCAAUUUUUGGUCUUCAACGAGGAAUUCCUAGUAAACGCAAGUCAUCAACUUGCAUUGAUUACGUCCCUGCCCUUUGUACACACCGCCCGUCGCACCUACCGAUUGAAUGGUCCGGUGAAAUCUCGGGACGGCGGCUUGGUCGCUCGCGUCCGACUGCUGAAACUUGAUUAAACCAUAUCAUUUAGAGGAAGGUGAAGUCGUAACA
rnacentral:rRNA from 1 species